UACGUAGGGUCCGAGCGUUGUCCGGAAUUACUGGGCGUAAAGAGCUCGUAGGUGGUUUGUCGCGUUGUUCGUGAAAACUCACAGCUUAACUGUGGGCGUGCGGGCGAUACGGGCAGGCUAGAGUUCGGUAGGGGAGACUGGAAUUCCUGGUGUAGCGGUGAAAUGCGCAGACUAGUCAGGAGGAACACCGAUGGCGAAGGCAGG
rnacentral:rRNA from 1 species